rnacentral:rRNA from 1 species
GAAGGUCAGGCUGAAGACCUUACCCGAUUAGCUGAGAGGUGGUGCAUGGCCGUCGUCAGUUCGUACUGUGAAGCAUCCUGUUAAGUCAGGCAACGAGCGAGACCCACGUCCACAGUUGCCAGCAUACCCUCCGGGGUGAUGGGUACACUGUGGAGACCGCCGCUGCUAAAGCGGAGGAAGGAGUGGGCAACGGUAGGUCAGUAUGCCCCGAAUCUCCCGGGCUACACGCGGGCUACAAUGGUUGGUACAAUGGGCAUCUACCCCGAAAGGGGAAGGAAAUCUCCUAAAGCCAAUCGUAGUUCGGAUCGAGGGCUGCAACUCGCCCUCAUGAAGCUGGAAUCCGUAGUAAUCGCGUUUCAACAGAACGCGGUGAAUACGUCCCUGCUCCUU